rnacentral:rRNA from 1 species
GCGAAGCUUUUCAGUAGUUUACUACAGAAAAUGACUGAGCGGCGAACGGGUGAGUAACGCGUGAGCAACCUACCUUAGUUACUGGGAUAGCCCGAGGAAACUCGGAUUAAUACCGGAUAUUCUUAUUUAAUCACAUGAUUUUUUAAGGAAAGGUCAGCCGAACUAAGAUGGGCUCGCGUUCUAUCAGCUAGUUGGUAGGGUAAUGGCCUACCAAGGCUACGACGGAUAGCUGGUCUGAGAGGACGAUCAGCCACACUGGGACUGAGACACGGCCCAGACUCCUACGGGAGGCUGCAGCAGGGAAUAUUGCGCAAUGAGCGAAAGCUUGACGCAGCGACACCGCGUGUGGGAUGACGGAUCUAGGUUUGUAAACCACUUUCAGGAGGGAAGAAAAUGACGGUACCUCCACAAGAAGCCCCGGCCAACUACGUGCCAGCAGCCGCGGUAAUACGUAGGGGGCGAGCGUUGUCCGGAUUUAUUGGGCGUAAAGAGCUCGUAGGCGGUUCAACAAGUCGGUCGUGAAAGUUCAGGGCUCAACCCUGAAAUGUCGAUCGAUACUGUUGUGACUAGGAUACGGUAGAGGUGAGUGGAAUUCCGAGUGUAGCGGUGAAAUGCGUAGAUAUUCGGAGGAACACCAAUUGCGAAGGCAGCUCACUGGGCCGCUAUCGACGCUGAGGAGCGAAAGCUAGG